ensembl:snRNA U6 U6 spliceosomal RNA
GUGCUCACUUCGGCAGCACAUAUACUAAAACUGGAAUGAUACAGGGAAGAUUAGCAUGGCCCCUGUGCACGGAUGGCACACAAAUUCAUGAAAUAUUCCAUAUUUUU